rnacentral:rRNA from 1 species
UGCCAGCAGCCGCGGUAAUACGUAGGUGGCGAGCGUUGUCCGGAAUUACUGGGCGUAAAGGGUGCGUAGGCGGAUCUUUAAGUCAGAUGUGAAAACCCGGGGCUUAACUUCGGGACUGCAUUUGAAACUGGGGAUCUAGAGUGCAGGAGAGGAAAGCGGAAUUCCUAGUGUAGCGGUGAAAUGCGUAGAUAUUAGGAAGAACACCAGUGGCGAAGGCGGCUUUCUGGACUGUAACUGACGCUGAGGCACGAAAGCGUGGGGAGCAAACAGGAUUAGAUACCCUGGUAGUCCACGCUGUAAACGAUGAGUGCUAGGUGUAGGGGGUGUCAUGCCUUCUGUGCCGCAGUAAACGCAAUAAGCACUCCGCCUGGGGAGUACGGUCGCAAGACUAAAACUCAAAGAAAUUGACGG